UAGGGAAUCUUUCGCAAUGGACGCAAGUCUGACGGAGCAACGCCGCGUGAGUGAAGAAGGAUUUCGGUUCGUAAAACUCUGUUGUUAGAGAAGAACAGCGCAUAGAGUAACUGUUAUGCGUGUGACGGUAUCUAACCAGAAAGCCACGGCUAACUACGUGCCAGCAGCCGCGGUAAUACGUAGGUGGCAAGCGUUGUCCGGAUUUAUUGGGCGUAAAGCGAGCGCAGGCGGUCAAAUAAGUCUGAUGUGAAAGCCCGCGGCUCAACCGGGGAGGGUCAUUGGAAACUGGUUGUCUUGGGUGCAGAAGAGGAGAGUAGAAUUCGAUGUGUAGCGGUGAAAUGCGUAGAUAUAUGGAGGAACACCAGUGGCGAAGGCGACUCUCUGGUCUGUAACUGACGCUGAGGCUCGAAAGCGUGGGUAGCAAACAGG
rnacentral:rRNA from 1 species